AACGAACGCUGGCGGCAUGCCUAACACAUGCAAGUCGAACGAGACCUUCGGGUCUAGUGGCGCACGGGUGCGUAACGCGUGGGAAUCUGCCCUUGGGUUCGGAAUAACCAGGAGAAAUCCUGGCUAAUACCGGAUGAUGUCUUCGGACCAAAAAUUUAUCGCCCAGGGAUGAGCCCGCGUCGGAUUAGCUAGUUGGUGAGGUAAAGGCUCACCAAGGCGCCGAUCCGUAGCUGGUCUGAGAGGAUGAUCAGCCACACUGGGACUGAGACACGGCCCAGACUCCUACGGGAGGCAGCAGUGGGGAAUAUUGGACAAUGGGCGAAAGCCUGAUCCAGCAAUGCCGCGUGAGUGAUGAAGGCCUUAGGGUUGUAAAGCUCUUUUACCCGGGAUGAUAAUGACAGUACCGGGAGAAUAAGCCCCGGCUAACUCCGUGCCAGCCGCCGCCGUAACAC
rnacentral:rRNA from 1 species